AGUCAGAGUUUUGAUCCUGGCUCAGGAUGAACGCUGGCGGCGUGCUUAACACAUGCAAGUCGAACGGUGAAAGAGAGCUUGCUCUCUGGAUCAGUGGCGAACGGGUGAGUAACACGUGAGCAAUCUGCCCCUGACUCUGGGAUAACAGCUGGAAACAGCUGCUAAUACCGGAUACGAGCUGCGAAGGCAUCUUCAGCAGCUGGAAAGAAUUUCGGUCAGGGAUGAGCUCGCGGCCUAUCAGCUUGUUGGUGAGGUAACGGCUCACCAAGGCGUCGACGGGUAGCCGGCCUGAGAGGGUGACCGGCCACACUGGGACUGAGACACGGCCCAGACUCCUACGGGAGGCAGCAGUGGGGAAUAUUGCACAAUGGGCGAAAAGCCUGAUGCAGCAACGCCGCGUGAGGGACGACGGCCUUCGGGUUGUAAACCUCUUUUAGCAGGGAAGAAGCGAAAGUGACGGUACCUGCAGAAAAAGCACCGGCUAACUACGUGCCAGCAGCCGCGGUAAUACGUAGGGUGCAAGCGUUAUCCGGAAUUAUUGGGCGUAAAGAGCUCGUAGGCGGUUUGUCGCGUCUGCUGUGAAAACUGGAGGCUCAACCUCCAGCCUGCAGUGGGUACGGGCAGACUAGAGUGCGGUAGGGGAGAUUGGAAUUCCUGGUGUAGCGGUGGAAUGCGCAGAUAUCAGGAGGAACACCGAUGGCGAAGGCAGAUCUCUGGGCCGUAACUGACGCUGAGGAGCGAAAGGGUGGGGAGCAAACAGGCUUAGAUACCCUGGUAGUCCACCCCGUAAACGUUGGGAACUAGUUGUGGGGACCAUUCCACGGUUCCGUGACGCAAGCUAACGCAUUAAGUCCCCGGCA
rnacentral:rRNA from 1 species